UUUUCUCAUUUUUUAUUAUUUUAGAUCAUGUUUAUUUAUCCUUUUUAAUCAUGUAUUUUCCAUUUUUAUUUUUAUUUUACUUUACCUUAUUAUUAUGUUAUUAUAGUAUUCCUUUAUUUACUUAUUAUCUAUCAUUCUAAUAUUCUAUCUACCUAGCCAUUUUAUAUUAUUUCAUUAUCACUAUUCCAUACAUUAUAUUUAGACAUAUUUGUCCGUUUUGUAUUGUAACAGAAUAAAUUAAAUAUACACCACUUUAAACGUCAUAUUUAAUUUUUUAUUCAAUGCGUAAAAAGGAGUAUUU
rnacentral:lncRNA from 1 species